GGGUGAGUCGACCCCUAAGGCGAGGCCGAAAGGCGUAGUCGAUGGGAAACGGGUUAAUAUUCCCGUACUUGGUGUUACUGCGAAGGGGGGACGGAGAAGGCUAUGUUGGCCGGGCGACGGUUGUCCCGGUUUAAGCGUGUAGGUGUGUGUUCCAGGUAAAUCCGGUUCACUUUAACACUGAGGCGUGACGACGAGGCACUACGGUGCUGAAGCAACAAAUGCCCUGCUUCCAGGAAAAGCCUCUAAGCAUCAGGUAACACGAAAUCGUACCCCAAACCGACACAGGUGGUCAGGUAGAGAAUACCAAGGCGCUUGAGAGAACUCGGGUGAAGGAACUAGGCAAAAUGGUGCCGUAACUUCGGGAGAAGGCACGCUGACACGUAGGUGAAGUGAUUUACUCAUGGAGCUGAAGUCAGUCGAAGAUACCAGCUGGCUGCAACUGUUUAUUAAAAACACAGCACUGUGCAAACACGAAAGUGGACGUAUACGGUGUGACGCCUGCCCGGUGCCGGAA
rnacentral:rRNA from 1 species